rnacentral:rRNA from 1 species
GAGUAAUGUCUGGGAAACUGCCUGAUGGAGGGGGAUAACUACUGGAAACGGUAGCUAAUACCGCAUAACGUCGCAAGACCAAAGAGGGGGACCUUCGGGCCUCUUGCCAUCGGAUGUGCCCAGAUGGGAUUAGCUAGUAGGUGGGGUAACGGCUCACCUAGGCGACGAUCCCUAGCUGGUCUGAGAGGAUGACCAGCCACACUGGAACUGAGACACGGUCCAGACUCCUACGGGAGGCAGCAGUGGGGAAUAUUGCACAAUGGGCGCAAGCCUGAUGCAGCCAUGCCGCGUGUAUGAAGAAGGCCUUCGGGUUGUAAAGUACUUUCAGCGGGGAGGAAGGGAGUAAAGUUAAU